UUUUCUUUUUUGUUGUCCCUUGUUUUCUCCUUUCUUCUUUUUGCCCCUGCCUCCUCGUUUGGGAAUAAUCGGGGAAGAGGGAGAGAAACAAAAAUAGAUAACAA
rnacentral:ribozyme from 1 species